CCGAACACGGAAGUUAAGCUCUUCAGCGCCGAUGGUAGUUGGGGGUUUCCCCCUGUGAGAGUAGGACGCCGCCA
rnacentral:rRNA from 1 species